UUCACUUGCAGGGAAUAAAUAACUUGAGUAAAAAUUUGUCUCUAUAUGACCAUGACCAUGACCGUGAUUAUUUCUGAUUUCAUAUUGUAUUACAUAAUCAUGAAUAUGUGGGAUUACGUUUACUCUAUUAUUUGUAGUGUAUUUCAAAAAGCAUGCUUAUCCUAGGUUCAAAGCAUGCAUGUACAUCUAAUGCAAAGCAUAUUAUAUAUAAUUACAAUUGUAUAAUCGUAUACAUAGUAUAAAGUGAUUAGAUAUGGUUAUAGAGAGACAAAUUUCAUGUAUAGUAUUAAACAAGCAGAUAAUUAUAAUUAUGAAGUCAUAUAUUGUUAUACAUGAAAAUUUUUACUCCAGAAUUGUUGAUAGUCUUAUAUGUGCAUCGAUUAUUCUUGAAAUAGCUUAAUUAGCUUCUGGCAUUGCUGUAAUUUGGAUAUAUUUGCAUCUUACAGGUCAACGUAGAUUCUCCAACGUGACUCCACUGCUGUGACUGCGCAUCGUGACGAUAACGAGAAGUCUGAGAGGAGUGGGAAACCAGGAAGACGUCGGUCGAUACGAUGGCGGAACAGAAAUCCUGAGGUGGAAAGUUGUUUGUCAUGCUUCGCUGUUUUCUUCACAACGCACAGGCGUCGUGUUUACGCAAGGUCACGGCGAUUACUCGACGGGUAGUAGCGUGAGUCACUUGCUAUCAAUGGGUCACAUACUUAUCAAUCGGAUUGACGACGAGGACCACGUGAGAGAUGAAUAGAAGGAGUAUUCACGCACUCCGAGCCGCUUGGGCCCAAGCCGCUGCGCGCGCAUCUCCCCCGCCACUCGCCUCUCGCGUGAACGUCGCCACAAGUCAGACAGAGACGGCCGGCCGAGCUGGUCGCAACAAUGGCGGACAACGGGACUGCGAGUGUACGUGGAGGGGGUGUUUACCGUGUCUGCACUGUCUGCAGUUCGACUACUGGGAACUUUGGAGCCUAUUUCUGCACGUCGGAAGUGACUGAAUCAAGUGGCGAUCCGUUGAUCUCUCGCGUUCAUCGCGCUUUGCGACGCAAUCGGUCGGGUCGCGAAACGGCGUAGCGAAAUUUCUCGCACCGGCGCGCGGUGUGAAGUUGCCGCUUCAUUUCGUACUCGCCGUGCAACGUAACCGAAAGUCGCGAGUGUGUCGAACGAAGGAAAGUGUGGCUGUGUCUCCUUGCGUGUCUCCUUCCGUAUUUACUCCCGGCGCAAUAAGUUCCGGGAACCGGUGAUCGCGUCGCGUUGUUUAUUCCGCGGGAUGUGUGAUGACUGGCGUUCUUCGGGUCGAUUUGCGUUCUUCGCGUGUGAUUUGCGAUGUGCGUGUGGGACGAGCGAGCGCCGGGAAAGACGCGGCGUCGCGUCGGGACAAUCGAAAAUGACGGUGCAUCAUCGGAUGUGUGAAUUGCUUUCAAACUAAUUCGGAGUUCGGGAGUGUUGUGCGAGUGUUCAACGACGGACCCAGUGUACGCGAGAGGAGGAGGAGGCCUGGGAGGCGUCAGGCGUCGGCGGAACAACCAUGGGGUAAGUGAUUUAACCUAACCUAACCUAACCUUUUCGUCAUGCGUUAUUUCAGAAUGUACUCAUCUCUCGAUUUACGCGGCAUUUUUCACGCGAGUUUUUUACGCGAUAAACAAUCCCUCUGUUUACAUGGGCUUUUUGGACGCUGUUUCAUUUUACGUGGUCGGAAAAAAAAAUGUACAUUUGUAUGAUUCUUAUUGAAACUAUUCGAUAUCAGUGAACCAAACGUUUUCACUCGAUCGGCUUUUUCUUACGUAUUAUUAUUUAUACUGGCAGACUCCGAUCCUCAACCGCGUAAGAAAAAAAAAUGACGUAGCGCGAAUGCUUCGCGUAAAUCGCAGGAUGAACGUAUGUACAUUUAAACACUUAAUGAGACAUUUAUAAUAUUUAAUAUAAUGGAUAUAUUU
rnacentral:lncRNA from 13 species